rnacentral:rRNA from 1 species
UACAGAGACUGCAAGCGUUAUUCGGAUUCACUGGGCGUAAAGGGUGCGCAGGCGGUUGGGUGUGUCAGAUGUGAAAUCCCGAGGCUCAACCUCGGAACUGCGUCUGAGACUACUCGACUAGAGUACUGGAGAGGGUAACGGAAUUCACGGUGUAGCAGUGAAAUGCGUAGAUAUCGUGAGGAACACCAGAGGCGAAGGCGGUUACCUGGACAGUUACUGACCGCUCAGGCACGAAAGCAUGGGGAGCAAAAGGG